AGCAGCUUGGCGCAGUGGAAGCGCGGUAUGUUUACUCACAAUUACUUGAGUUAAAGAUUCGUACUAACUCUCCAUAGCCGGGCUCAUAACCCGGAGGUCACUGGAUCGAAACCAGUAGCUGCUA
rnacentral:tRNA from 1 species